rnacentral:rRNA from 1 species
UAGGGAAUCUUCGGCAAUGGACGGAAGUCUGACCGAGCAACGCCGCGUGAGUGAAGAAGGUUUUCGGAUCGUAAAGCUCUGUUGUAAGAGAAGAAUGAGUGUGAGAGUGGAAAGUUCACACUGUGACGGUAUCUUACCAGAAAGGGACGGCUAACUACGUGCCAGCAGCCGCGGUAAUACGUAGGUCCCGAGCGUUGUCCGGAUUUAUUGGGCGUAAAGCGAGCGCAGGCGGUUAGAUAAGUCUGAAGUUAAAGGCUGUGGCUUAGCCAUAGUACGCUUUGGAAACUGUUUAACUUGAGUGCAAGAGGGGAGAGUGGAAUUCCAUGUGUAGCGGUGAAAUGCGUAGAUAUAUGGAGGAACACCGGUGGCGAAAGCGGCUCUCUGGCUUGUAACUGACGCUGAGGCUCGAAAGCGUGGGGAGCAAACAGGAUUAGAUACCCUGGUAGUCCACGCCGUAAACGAUGAGUGCUAGGUGUUAGACCCUUUCCGGGGUUUAGUGCCGCAGCUAACGCAUUAAGCACUCCGCCUGGGGAGUACGACCGCAAGGUUG